ACUUAAGCAUAUCAAUAAGCGGAGGAAAAGAAACCAACAGGGAUUGCCCUAGUAACGGCGAGUGAAGCGGCAACAGCUCAAAUUUGAAAUCUGGCUCUUUUAGAGUCCGAGUUGUAAUUUGCAGAGGGCGCUUUGGCUUUGGCAGCGGUCCAAGUUCCUUGGAACAGGACGUCACAGAGGGUGAGAAUCCCGUACGUGGUCGCUGGCUAUUGCCGUGUAAAGCCCCUUCGACGAGUCGAGUUGUUUGGGAAUGCAGCUCUAAAUGGGAGGUACAUUUCUUCUAAAGCUAAAUAUUGGCCAGAGACCGAUAGCGCACAAGUAGAGUGAUCGAAAGAUGAAAAGCACUUUGGAAAGAGAGUCAAACAGCACGUGAAAUUGUUGAAAGGGAAGCGCUUGCAGCCAGACUUGCUUACAGUUGCUCAUCCGGGUUUUUACCCGGUGCACUCUUCUGUAGGCAGGCCAGCAUCAGUUUGGGCGGUAGGAUAAAGGUCUCUGUCACGUACCUCCUUUCGGGGAGGCCUUAUAGGGGAGACGACAUACUACCAGCCUGGACUGAGGUCCGCGCAUCUGCUAGGAUGCUGGCGUAAUGGCUGUAAGCGGCCCGUCUUGAAACACGGACCAAGGAGUCUAACAUCUAUGCGAGUGUUUGGGUGUCAAGCCCGAGCGCGUAAUGAAAGUGAACGGAGGUGGGAACCCGCAAGGGUGCACCAUCGACCGAUCCUGAUGUCUUCGGAAGGAUUUGAGUAAGAGCAUGGCUGUUGGGACCCGAAAGAUGGUGAACUAUGCUUGAAUAGGGUGAAGCCAGAGGAAACUCUGGUGGAGGCUCGCAGCGGUUCUGACGUGCAAAUCGAUCGUCAAAUUUGGGCAUAGGGGCGAAAGACUAAUCGAACUAUCUAGUAGCUGGUUCCUGCCGAA
rnacentral:rRNA from 1 species